GCUUGCUUCAUGAUUCAGACCUUGGUGAGUGGCGGACGGGUGAGUAACACGUGGGUAACCUGCCCAGAAGUGGGGGAUAACAUUUGGAAACAAGUGCUAAUACCGCAUAACAACAUUUAUCUCAUGAUUUUUGUUUAAAAGAUGGUUCUGCUAUCUCUUCUGGAUGGACCCGCGGCGUAUUAGCUAGUUGGUGAGGUAAUAGCUCACCAAGGCGAUGAUACGUAGCCGACCUGAGAGGGUAAUCGGCCACAUUGGGACUGAGACACGGCCCAAACUCCUACGGGAGGCAGCAGUAGGGAAUCUUCCACAAUGGACGAAAGUCUGAUGGAGCAACGCCGCGUGAGUGAAGAAGGUUUUCGGAUCGUAAAACUCUGUUGUUGAAGAAGAACAUAUGUGAGAGUAACUGUUCACGUACUGACGGUAUUCAACCAGAAAGCCACGGCUAACUACGUGCCAGCAGCCGCGGUAAUACGUAG
rnacentral:rRNA from 1 species